GAUAGAGGGGAGGGGGCUACGUGGCGUGAGCUGGGCGGGAGUUGGAGACGGUGGACAGUAAGACAGCAACAACGGCGCCAGUUGACACGUCUUUUUCCUUUGACAAACAUUUAAACAGGCGCUGCGGCCGGCAACAAAAACAAUUACAAGCCAUUCAAGUUCCACCUUAACCUUCGACUUAACCUCGGGCAUAAAAGUGCAUAAAAAAAAAAUAAAAAACCAAAAGGUGUUCUCUGACGUCAUAACAGUAAAUUAGCAGCGACUUUACAAAUGCCAAGACUUGCAUAGGUAUUUUCACAAGAACUAAACACUUGAUCGUUUGAUAGAGAAGACAGUGAUCCGUUGCGAGGGACCAAAUUUGUAAAGUAUAUCAAAUGGUUAACUUAACUUAACUUUGUUGUCUUCCUAAAGAUAGUUUCUAUAAUACCUCGAAGAUACUUUCUAUUAUACCUCAAAGAUACUUUCUAUGAUACCUAUAUAUACUAUAUAAAUACAAAAGCAGCCGAAAGACGCAAGUAAAAUGCCCAAAAAUAAUAAUUACACAUAUAUGUGUGUAUAAACGAAUGCGUGUGUGUAUGGCCAUGGAACAUUUAGUGCUUAGAGAAUGGUGGAUAUUUUCUUUGGGACUCUGUGUGUGUUUAUAGAAAUCCCUGACUAGACAUAAAAUCCAGCCAGCAUGUGUAUCUAUGUACAAUAUAGAGCGAGCGGCAGACAGGACCAAAUAACGUAACCAUUUCGGGCACUUGCCAAAAGGGAAAUAAUGGGGGCGGCCGGGCUUGGGGAGGACGAGGCCAUUGUUAGCGGUUGCCCCACCACCUAACCACCCACCUUGCAGCACCACCCACUCAUCUGUCCGCAUUACGUCUAACGGUUUGUCGGUCUGCUGCCGCUUCAUCAAUUCAGUCCAUGUCCGACCAACAGAAACAAAACAGGAGUGGCCCAAAGGAUCGGAGAUUGGAGAUUCGAGAUGGCGAUGGCAAUGGCAAUGGAACUGGAGAUGGAAGUGGAGAUGGAAGUGGAGAACGGACGACAUUUCCACAUUUCCAUUUGAAUAAUUUAGACAUUUUCGUUGAUGAAUAACCGAAAGCACAUUGAUAGAUAUUCGCUUCACUCCGCUCCAUUCGAAGGACCGACCUGUUCCAGACCAUAUAUCCAUAUCCCCUAUAUAUACACACACACACGAACACACACACGCACAAGUGUAGGUCUGUCUGUCUGGAGUCAAGUGGCAAUGGAGUGGGGUUGGGUGGGGGCUUCGAGAUUGGGUCUCAAAUACUAUCCCCACAUUCGAUAUAUGUACAUAUGUACAUAUAUGUACAUUUACCUAAGCCUUUGUGCCCAAUUUCUUGCCUCUCUCGUUUGGUCAAAUUUCGGGCUUAAAGCAAUUUCCAAAUGAAUUUCACCAUUUAAACUCGAGACAGUCGUGCAUCCAAUUAGUAGACGGUUAUUGAGUUUAUAGAACGGAAACUAAUUCAUCUGCUGAGAACUCAACUAGCUAAACAUUUAAUUAAUAAUCUAUAUUAAGUGCGAUGUAAUGGAAAUUCAGUGCAAAUGCAAUAUGCAACCAUUGUUUUCACCUGAUUUAUAAUGCGCCAUAAGCAGCAGCAUAUGUGCUUCAAAUACCCCCAAACCAUUCUCACACUUGCAACAUUUUAGCAUAGUGAUGGAUUUAUGAGACAUUGUCUUGUUGAACAACGGCAUUCGGCAAAUUGUUGCCGACUUGAUUGUGAAAUAUGUGUGUUUUCAGCUGGUUAAAGUUCGUAAAUUAGUGAGGGUAGUUGGUGCUGCAUGCUCUGGAAUCCGAUGUUCUGGGUGGGGUGUUUCACUUGUAAUGAGCCAGCGCUAAUUAAUUUGUAUAAUGUGCUGACUGAGAGACGACUACCGAUAAGUGACCGUAAACAUAGUAACGAAGGCAUAUAUCCCCUUUUCUACCAACUCAGAAGUACACAAGAAUACAAAAUGCAUAGAAUUAAAAGCAUUUCGUUUUUGUGCGAUCAACUGAGAUAAUUAAGAUAACUGAGGAGUAAGCAUACAAAAUACAAAAUAAUAUACAAUAUAUAAUUAAAUGCCAUGUAAAAUAUGAAAAUGUAAACUCAACAGCACUAACUUUGCUUGGAAAUAUAUAUGCAAAAUAAGUAUCAAUUGCAUAAAGUAGUAUUAUCUAUACAGAAUAAACUAGGCAAACUAUUCAACAUAAAAAAUAUAUUUCACUUUCCAUUUAGUAAAGCGCACCCCUUUUGGUUUCAGUGUGGCGGCCAAUCAAUUAGAGGACCUAAACACCCGACUGCCCCUCGAGGUUCGCGUGGUGCGAAGAGUAAACGUUUAUAGUGCGUGUAAUCAGCUCUUAACUAUAAUUUAUAAAACUGCAUUUCUUGCACCCGUCAGUCUCCCCAUUCCCCCCCAUUCCCCCCCCUCCAUUCCCGCCAGCUUAGUUCGCAGUUUAGCGCGAAAAAAGAAGGGAGCGUGGGGGGGGUUUAAAUAACGCAUCGGCACGACGGAAGCAAUAAACUUCUGUAUAAUUAAAUAAAAUAAAAUUAUAAAUGUUAAUGAGCUUCGGCUCAGUUGGCACAUAAAAAGGGGGAACAAAAAAUGAGAAGAGAGCCUCAACUCAACUCUAUAAUCAUGGGUAUCAUGGGUAUCACGGGUAUCAUGGGUAGCUUCGUGGAUCCAUGGAUACGUGGAUCCGAACACGCACCGUUUCUCCACUCUUAUCCCCAUAUCCCCAAAGAUCCCCAAUGUGCGGGGCCUGUAAACAAUUUAGCGUGUCUCUUCAUAUUAUAUCAUUAAAAUUAAUACGAGUUUAGCGUGCCGCAAGUUAUUCACUUUGGGGCCCGCUGUCAAAGUGCGUCUACCAAUGCGAUCCAUUCCCAUUCCCAUUUCCAUUCAACUCAACUUGUCUGCUUACAGAACUUCCCAUUUUCAUUUUCAUUUUCAUUUACGCCACUGCGUGUCGCCUAACUAAUGGAAGUGACUGUGUCCAAAUCGCUGAUUGCAACACGGACAACGAUCGGAUUAACACGCCAAUUAUUCAAUGCGAAAUGAAUAUGGACUAUUCCAUUCCACCAUUGGUGCCAUUUAAAUCACAGUCGAAAUCAACAAGCUCUUAAGUUCUCUUUAUAUUUACCGAUUUCCGAUUUUUUUGGUGCUUUCACUUGCUUAUUAUUAGGACAUGUUAAUAUUUAAGAGUAGAGUAGGCCAAUUAAUCUUUUGAAUGCCUAUUUUUACAUAUUAUAUAUUUUAGCUCGUUUUAGAUUGUACCAGUUCACCUGACUCCCUGCCAUAAACCUUAAGCCACCGCACUGGACUUGAAUAAAGCGAUGUUCGUCGGUUAUGCAAAUCAGAAACUGUCCACAACUGUUCCCCACCUGUGUUUUUUGUAUUUUGUUUUUUUUUUUCACCUGGCGGGCAUUGUUAUGGUGGCUACCCCGCUUUUCCACGUUUUCCCUACUGCUGGCCUAACACGACACUGACAAAUGUUAAUCCAUUAAGGCCCUGUCAAUGGGAAAAUCUGUCACAACAGCGCACGAAUUGGUGUGGGGCUAAGGCGUAUUAGUUUCGGAUCCUGAGAGUGCAUCUUAAUUGGUGCAAGGUGCACUGCAUCAGCCCCCCUCGCCCAUUGCAAUUGUUCGCCUUGCCAAUGCACUGGGAAAAAAUCAGACAGACCAGACUGCAAAGCUUCACAUGUCACAAUUUAUUAUUCCAAAAAUAAAAGAUGAUUUUUUGUGCUCUGUGCGGGAUUUACAGAGACAAAUGCGAAUGCUAAACUUGGCCAACAACAAAUUGGCAAUCAGGCCGCUCUUUCCAUCGCUUUGCCCACUGGGCAGGUGUUGGACAACUUAAUGCGAAAUGGCUGGCAAGGAUUGGGGGAACGCGGAAGGAGGAGGAUGAGAAUGAGGAUGAGGAUGGUGGCAGCAGGAUGACGGAGGAAGGAACUGCGUAGAGCGCGUGCCGUGUAAAAUUUUUUAAGUGCCUGCUCAUUAAUCGUAAUCGUCUGGGGCCCUGACCCCUUUCCACUCCAUCGAGCGAGUGGCUCUGCUUGGAGAGCUCCAGAGCUCCAGCUCCUUUGACGCCUGCCGCUCCUGUUUCCCAGCCGUCGUGUUCUGGAAAUCGUACAAAGUGGCUAUAUAUAUAUAUUCAAAUUGAUGUGGUAAAGGGUUUUGUAAGAAACGCGAAUUUAGCUUUUUUUAGUACCUACAAAUACAUUAAGUUUGGUUUGCUCAACAUUCACGCGAAUAUAUCAUA